AUGAUAAAUCUCACUAGAUACAUACUAACAACAAUCUCUUGGUUUAAAUUUGAAUUUACUAGGGAUCCUUUUGGUUCUAAUGUAGUUGUAAUUGAUAUGCUGAUUGGUUUGGUUAUUCAGGUAGACACCCAGUGGUUAAGACUGUGUAGUGAGCCAUGCCUUUGUGAGAGGACCAAGAAAAGAAAGGCAUGUUGUACCUACCCUACAUUGACAGUCAUUAUUAGCCCAUUGUGGUACUUCAAAUCUGAUAAAGAAUAUAUUUCAUGUCUGAGACAUGAGAUUUGGAGUCUCGGUUCUGAUAUGUACGGACCUCCUUUUAUUUUGUCAUGUUGCUGA
rnacentral:rRNA from 1 species